AAACACUUGAAACUUUAGAGUCCUACUGUCAUUAAAAAAAUCAAAAUCAAAGUGGCAGUCAGAAGUAACAGUUACUAAUAUUUACCUAUACAUUUUCCCAUUUUAUUCUGGGAAAUGAGAAAUGU